rnacentral:tRNA from 1 species
GGGGAAUUAGCUCAGUUGGCUAGAGCGCCUGCCUUGCACGCAGGAAGUCGCGGGUUCGAGUCCCACAUUCUCCACCA